CGCAGGCCUGUAUCGGCGUCGUGGUAGUAUCCGUCGACGGGCGUACCCUCCGGUAGACGGUACUCUCGAGUGCGCCCUGCGUGAACUAUAGUACAACCCCAACGGUGCUCCAGCGAAAGGAGCCAUAACAGCGCCUUACGUGAUUGUUUCUCGCAGUAGCGGUAUCCGCCCGGUGGUAAAAUGGCUAUCUGCUCGUCCCGCAAAAAGUUUUUUCUAAAAACUCUUGAACACGCUGAGGCUAUAGUGG